AAGGAGAAACGAGCCGUGCCCGGGAGAGUCCCAGCGGAGCCGGCUUCUGGGAAGAGAAACUUGCGGCCGGGGGAGGCACGGGGGGCGCUCGGCACGGGCUCCUCGCCGCCACCCCCACCCGCGUCGCCCGCGCUCUCGGAAGCGCCCGGAGGAGGGUCUCGGGGUCCGGCUGGUCGCUGCCCGCGGGCCGUCCGAAGACUGGGCUCAUCCGGUGCGACAGCCCUGCCCCGCCCGGGGGGAGGGGCCGGGCCGGCCCAGGACCCAGAGGCCACCGCCGCGCACCCGGAGAGGCUGCACCGCCACCCCUCCCGUCCCCUCUCCGGCCUCCCGGGACCCGCAGCGACCCCAGCCCCCCCUCCACCCCUGGGCCCUCCUCCGGACGCCUCCGGGUCCCCCGCGUCGGGCCUCCCUGGGUCCCGGCGCCCCGUCCUCCUGCCCACCGCUGCCACCUCGCGCAGGGCUCCCCGGGCCUCUCCCGGCCCCCGACCCCCUGCCCCGGGUCCCCGGAGCCGCCGCGGUCGGGCCCCCCGAGCCCCGCGGACAUGCUCGGGCUGCUGGCGCUGUUGCUCCCGCUGCUGCCGCCGCCCGCGCGCGCCCAGGAGCCCUCCGCGCAGGACGUGAGCCUGGGAGUGGACUGGCUGACCCGCUACGGCUACCUGCCACCACCCCACCCUGCCCAAGCACAGCUGCAGAGCCCUGCGAAGCUGAGGGAUGCUAUCAAGGUCAUGCAGAGGUUUGCCGGGCUGCCUGAGACAGGCCUCCUGGACCCGGUGACCAUGGCCACCAUGCACAGGCCCCGCUGCUCCCUGCCUGAUGUGCUGGGGGCGGCAGAGCUGGUGAGACGUCGUCGCCGUCGCCGGCGCUACGCCCUGAGCGGCAGCGUGUGGAAGAAGCGAACGCUGACGUGGAGGGUGCACUCCUUCCCCCAGAGCUCGGCACUGAGCCAGGAGAUGGUGAGGACCCUCAUGCACCACGCCUUGACCACCUGGGGCGUCGAGUCAGGCCUCAAAUUCCAGGAGGUGGGCUUUCAGAGCCCAACGGAGCCCGACAUCGUCAUUGACUUUGCCCGGGCGUACCACCAGGACAGUUACCCCUUCGACGGGCAGGGAGGGACCCUAGCCCACGCCUUCUUCCCCGGGGAACACUCCAUCUCUGGGGACACGCACUUCGACGACGAGGAGAUCUGGACUUAUGGGUCAAAAGAUGGUGAGGGGACGGACCUGUUUGCUGUGGCUGUUCAUGAGUUUGGCCACGCCUUGGGCCUGGGCCACUCCUCGGCACCGGACUCAAUCAUGAGGCCCUUUUACCAGGGCCCGGUGGGCGACCCCCACAAGUACCGCCUAUCCCAGGACGACCGGGAAGGCCUACAGCAGCUCUAUGGGAAGGUGCCCCAGACCCCUUAUGAUAAGCCCACAAGGAAACCCUUGGCUCCUCCUCCCCCACCCCCUGCCCUGCCCCCAGACAGCCCCUCUCUCCCCACCCCUGACCGAUGCGAAGGCAAUUUUGAUGCUAUCGCUAACAUCCGUGGUGAAACCUUUUUCUUCAAAGGCCCCUGGUUCUGGCGCGUUCAACCCUCGGGACAGCUGGUGUCGCCCCGGCCCGCCAGGCUCCACCGCUUCUGGGAGGGGCUGCCCGCCGGGGUGAAGGUCAUCCAGGCCGCCUACGCCCGGCCCCGGGACGGCGGCAUCCUCCUCUUCAGCGGCCCCCAGUUCUGGGUGUUCCAGGAGCGGCAGCUAGAGGGCGCCCCGCGGCCGCUCACGGAGCUGGGGCUGCCGGCCGGAGAGCAGGUGGACGCCGUGUUCUCGUGGCCGCUCAACGGGAAGACCUACCUGAUCCGGGGCGGGCGCUACUGGCGGUACGACGAGGCGGCCGCGCGCCCGGACCCCGGCUACCCCCGCGACCUGAGUCUUUGGGAAGGGGCGCCUCCCGCCCCCGACGAUGUCACCGUCAGCAACGCAGGUGACACCUACUUCUUCAAGGGCGCCUACUACUGGCGCUUUCCCAAGGGCAGCGUCAAGGCGGAGUCCGACUCCCCCCAACCCAUGGGCCCCAAGUGGCUGGACUGCCCGGCCCCCAGCGCCGACCCACGCUCCCCCAGGCCCCCCAAAGCCACCCGGGAGCCCGGAGCCUGCAAUUGUCAGUGCGAGAUCAAUCAGGCCUCAGGGCGGCCGUCGCUGUCCUUCCUGCUGUCCCUUCUACCCCCGCUGGUGGGGGGCGUCGCCUCCAGCUGAGGGGGACGGUCCCGGGGCGGGGCUCAUGCGGGUGGAGCUUCGCCCUGGGGACUCGGACAAAUGGCUAGCCCUUAGACUGGACGGGCCAUGUGCUCACCCUCGCCGUUCCAGCACCCCCCCUCUCACCCUCCCCCCCCAGCCCCACCCCCACCCCCACCCCCACCGUUGUCCUGGCUGCGCCACGCGCUGCCGCUACAGGAAGCUCUUUUUCCCUGGAAGAGCUGGUGCUUCUCAGCAGCCUGUGACUAUAGCCCUGGCCCCACCUGGCAACAGCGGUUCCUCAUAGCGGCUCCUGGCUGUUUGGGGCUUUAGAGGACUGGACUGAUUGGGGCAACUGAACCCCAGCCCCUCUCUCCACCUGCUGCUCCGAAUUUCCCAGAAGAGUCCCACUGUCCUGCUUCUGCAACGUCCCAGGCAAUGCCACGUGGAUGGGGACCCCAGAUCCAGCCCUCAAGUUACCCCUGAGCACGAGUGUCCCAUAUCCUGGGUGACAUCAGUGUCCCAUGUCCUGGGUGACAUCAGUGGCCACCCAGACGACCCUCCACAACCGAGGCCCCUGUGGACCUCCUUUCUGGUCACCAUCUUGGACCCAGAACAGUCCCGGUUCAACAGAACACCCUCCAAUCCCUAAAAAUCCACUCAGUCCCUCCACACCGGAGUGUAUACCGCUUCCCUCAGGGAGAACUCUUGGGUUCUCCGCGGCUCAGUGCUGUGAAGACAGUGGACUGAGUUCCCUUUCCAUCCAGGGGUCACUGCUUCCUCAGCACCCCUGGGUGAUGAGUGGGAGGACCACCUCAUUCACCUCCCACUCCUCCCCGAAUUCCGGACCUACAUCAGUACCUCUGGAACUGCACUUCUGGAAUCUUCCACAUCAGAAUCACCUAGGGAACUUAAAAAUGCGGAUCCCAUGCCCUCACCCUGAAUCACUUGGGGGCUGGGGCCAGGAGUCUGCACUCGAGUAAGCUUGGGGGGGCAGCCCUGAUGGGCGAGGGGGCCGGGACAACAGCUGUCAUCUUUGUCUUGUGGUUUUUCUGUGUCUCUGAAGUGUUCUCCCUCCCAGGGACCAACCUGAGCACAUUCUCUGCAGAAUCAGGUUGAUGGCCUUGCUCGAGUAGGAUCUAUCCCCUUUGGGUGGAGCCGCUUAGGGGCCACUUCCUGGGUUGCCAUCCGCCCACAGUGCUGCCUGGGGCUGAGGCUGCGGGCUGCUGUCCCAGCGUGCAGGGCCCUCGGUCAGGACAAGCUGACCAGUCGGAGGGCAACAGCCAGGUGUCUUCAGCCAACCCGUGACCUGAGAAUUCCAAGCCACCAGAAAACCCGAAACCCGGGCCUCUGUCAGGAUCCUUUCAAAAUAUAUGGAGGAGGAAACUUAUAUUUUAAAAGCUUAUGAGCCCCACACAGGAGGACAAUGAAAGUGACCCGAGAGAAAGCCCUUCAUUUCUCCUGAGCACAGAUGGAUCCGGGGACACCAUUAAAAAAAUGAAAAGACCACCCACCAAACGGGAGAAAAUAUUUGCAAAGGACAUAUCUGAUGAGAGGCUCGUAUCCAGAAUAUAUAAAAUACUCUGACAGCUUAAUAAGCAGAAGGUAAAUGACCCAAUUUAAAAAUGGGCAAAGGAUCAGAAUGCACAUCCCUCCAAGGACAACGUACAAGUGGCUGACAAGCCCACGAAAAGAUGCUCGACGUCACUAGUCAUAAGGGGAAUGAAAAUCAAAACCACACGGGGAUACUGUUUCACACCCGCCAGGGCGGCUAGAAUCAAAAACAUCAUAGUCGGCGUGGGCGAGGAUGUGGAGAAACGGACCAUCACGCGCUGUCGCUGGGGAUAGAAAAGGGCGCAGUAACUUUGGAAAAUCAUCUGGUGGUUCCUCAAAAAGUGGAAAACCUAGUCAGCUAUCAUAGGAGCCAACAAUUCUCCUCCUAGGUGUGAACCCAAGAGACCUAAAAACAGACAUCCGCACAGAAACUUGUACACGGGCGUCCACAGCAGCGUGAUUCGUAAGAGCCAAAAGGCAGAAACAACCCGAAUGUCCAUGGACAGACGCGUGGAUACGGGAAGUGGCACGUUCAUACAGUGGAGCGUUCUUUAGCCUUCGAAAGGACUGAAGCGCGGGUUCGCGCUACAACCCCGAGGAAUUGAAAGCCCCGUGCUAAGUGCAAAAGGCGGUCACAAAAGGUCACGGCGUGACCAUCUCUAUGUGAUUCCGUGUAUAUGAAACAUCCAGACCAGGGAACUCCAGAGACAGAGAAACCUGGGAGUGCCCCGAUCUGCUCUCACCAGUCUGGACUUUCCCUCUGUCUUUCCCUG